rnacentral:rRNA from 1 species
UUCUCAUUUCCUUCGGGAAAGUAAGACCCCUCAGAGAUGAUGAGGUAGAUAGGAUGGAAGUGGAAGUGCCGUGAGGCAUGGAGCGGACCAUUACUAAUCGGUCGAGGACUUAACCAAG